CCAUCUGCAAAAGCAAACACUUCAGUUUGAAUUCGAUUCUCCCAAAACAUAACACCUGGUACUGAAGUAGCUUGCUUUUUAAGCAAUAAUCCAGACUUGCAGACUAAGUCAGUGACUUCUCUCUGGUGGCUGAAUUAAGACAAGAAGCUGUCUUCCUUUCAUACCAUGUUGCCCAAGUCAAGACUUCUGCCUUAUUCUUGGCAAUACAAUAAGCAUUUCGUGACAAAUGAUAGAGACAGUCUGUGCAUAACAACAGAAGGGGCCUCAUGAGCUUUCUGAGACUAAAGCUUUGUUUCUUGCAGCAGAUUUAUUUUGUUGGUGAUGACUUUCCUAAUGAAGCACUUAUGUCAAUACCCCAAAAAUCUGACUGCAGCCUGGGAAGAAAGCAAAUCUAGGCAGCUCUCCACUGCUAAAGCAUUAAAACUGUGGACACAUUUCAGCUGGGCACCCUUUCCUUUGGUGAAGGACAAGGUCAAAAUUAUUCUUUCCUGAACAGCGAGCCCCAGAUUUUGGGGCACAAAACCUAUACAGAUUAGCUAUAAGGCAGCUGUGAUCUAUUGCCAAGGGGUCAUAUGGAGUCAUGGUCAAAAGAGUAAGAGCAUUAUUUUCAUACUUAUUUUCACACUGUUUGGGUUCUGAGUUAGAGCAACCAUCUUUAAAAACCAACAAGUUUAAAACAUUUUCUGUUUUAAGCAUAGUUCUGCUUUUUUGAAGAAGAGCCGGGCUCCACUUGGGUUUUUACAUCUAAAUUGUGUCACAGGCUCUUCAUUAACAUUGAGGACACAGAAGUGAGAAAGAACAAUUUCCCUUCUAGAUCCCAGACUGAACAUGAUCAUUACACUGCAAAAUUUCAGUUAAUGUGCACACCAAUACAAACACUACCACUUAAAAAACCCCGCAGGUAAUUUUACUCAGACAUGAGUAAAAGUCUUUAUUUUUUGCAUUCCUGAAGUGUCAGUCAAAUGAGGGAUCAAGCUUUAUUCUCUGUUUUUUAAAAUCCCCAACUUGAAAGACUAUUCAGACUUUGAUUUACACAUAAUGCACAAUUAAAUUAAGUUUCAAAGGAUGACAGCUAAAAUAAGUAACAAGAUCAAAACCACCAUACACUGAGUUUCCCUUGUAAGUAAUAUUGCUGAACGAGUUUCAAAGUGUUUGUGAUAUGACACUAUUUACAGUGAAGUCUUUAAUACUGGUAUAUUUUUCUUUCCAGCUGUGGCAUUUCCUCAGACAAAGAUGGCUGGGCCAUCAGGUUCACCAAGAGCACAUGGGAUUCCAGCAUAAACAAGAAAUAGGGUGCAGAGAACUAUGAUGCCAUAGUUCAACUAAACUCAGAAAAACUUAAAUUAGUGAAUAAUGCAAAUCAAGGCUAUAGCCUUGAACUUCAGGCAUCCCUCUUUAAAAGCAGGUGGCAGUAUAGGAGUCAUCUCACCUGCUUCUCAAUACAUACAGGUUCUCUUCAAAGGCAGUGGAGAGAAGCAGCCACUCCUGGGGGGUGAAUGCACCUUUCCCCAGGUGGACACCUAGAACAGGUCAGGUGGAUCAUGUCUGUAGGAGUAACCCCCUAUGUGACACUCAGGCAAAGCUGGGAAAGCCACAGGGCCUAGCCCAAGCACUUUGGCUUCCCCUGCAGACAGGAGAGCUGGGUAGCUCUGGAAAGCAAUGGGGAAUGCCCCACAGAGCUUUCCUAUGGGCAGUGCAAAGCCACUGCCUGAGCCCAGGGACCUCAGAGUACAUGCCCACAUCAGGCACUUCCAGGCCACUUGAAAUCUGCAUUUUAUGCAGGUUUCAUUCACAGGAGAAGAAAGUGAAUAAAAAUCCAGGAUGUGGAAUAAGGAGAUAAAGCUCCAGACCUGAGUAACAGUCUGGCUUCCUCUUGCCUGCUGCCCUUUUUGGUCCCCAAGUCUUUAGGCUAUGAAAUGGCCCCUCUCUACACACUGAGGAUGAGGUCACCUCUCCUGCACGCAGGUGAGAGGUCAAUGUCCCUGUGGCUCAAGAGCCACCAGCUGCUGUGCUGUGCUGAAUCUGCUGGCACCAGGGAGUGAGGGCAUGCUCCCAGGAAGGGCAGGCUCUGCAGGGAACUGCUGCAGGGACAUGCUCCAACUCCAAGCUGCAAUGAAGCUUACAGCAAGUUCAGCAUGUUGUUCCCCCAGGAGCACCAGGUGGAAGCCAAGAGGCUGCUCUGCCCCACAGGAUCAGGAGCAGGCAGCCAAAAAGAGGAGCUAACUAAGUCUGCUUUGCUGCAUCAUGAUACAAGAAUCCUACAGAUCCUGAAAAACGAACGGGAGCAAGACUGAUUUCUCCAGAGCUUUGUUUCAGGCGUCAGUACUGGCUGGGGACAGCUGGAAGCAAUGAUAUCCUGCAGGAGCUGGUGUCCCAGCUCUGGUGGGAGCCUUGGGCAUGUAACUGGGAGGGACCAGGGAGAAGAUAAUUCCUUUAGGUUCUUCAGAGACUUUGAUAACAGGCAACAAACUGCCAGUCUGACUUGUGGAAACAAGAGAUGUGUGGAUCAAACGGUGUUUAUCUGAGCCCAGUGACAGGGUGGGAUGCUACAGCAUCCUUCUGCUGUCACAAUCAUUUCUGAGGCCACUGAGAGGGGUUUAGUGUCUCUUCUGAGCAUUGUGCCAGCCCAGGAAGAACUGCUGGGGAGGAACCAUUCAGCUGCACCAGCUGCUGUUUUUAAGGUGCUGGAAUUGGGCAGAGAAUUGAGCAUGCAUCACUUCUUGGUUGUGCUACCUGUCAUCACCUGAAACGGCAUCAACUAUGGAUUCACACAGCAAGUUUAUACUGUAGCAGCCUUUGCUGUGAUACACAGCUAUAGUUUCAAAGCCUGUCAGUGAGCUCUUGUAUCAGGGGAUGUUGUUGGCUGUUGGCAGCCGGUAUUUGUAUUGUGCGUGCAAGGCCUUUCACUCAGCCAUGUGAACUUUACAUAUAAAAGAGUAAGCAGAACUUUCUGUUUCUUUUCCAAAUUUCCCUUCCAAACUGCAAAUUUGAAAAUUCAAACAUACACGUUAAAUUCAGUGAUAAAUCAGAUGUUCAAGCAGUAAUCUGUAAACAAAGAGGCUUGAUGUGAUAUAAUCAUUAACACAGAGUCCAAGGGGAUCACUAGGAGAUGAAUGUGCUUGCCAAAAAGCAAGCAGCAGAUAGAACAGAAGAAGGCCCAAUGACUUGUUUCUUCUAGCUUUGUUCAAAACUCAUUGCUUUUCCAUGAUUUAUACAUGUUAGUUUGCUAUGCUUCGCAGGACACAACCCAACAUAUGCUUCCCCUCAAUGGUUCAUGCUCUCUAAGCCCAAAAAGGCAAUAUUAUCUUUUCUUCUCAUAUGACUCUGCCAUAGCCCAUGGCUAGGUGGUCAAUUAUCUGUUGAACUAUUCACUGGCUGGCCAUAUUGAAAAAAUUGCAUCACAUGCCUGGCUUCUCUAAUUGGAUUAUGUUCAGCAACCCAAGGGUAAAGUUAAUAUGUAGUCUAGAUACAGAUAAUGCAUAUAUAUUGAAGAGUGCUUUAAAAAAAAAAAUAUAGUGAAGUCAUUGUUUAGUGCCUAUUGUGGUAUUUUCAAGAUCUCUCAUUACUUAAACAGCUGCUUUUUCAGCUGGAAAAUCUUAACAUUAAAUUUUUUAGCAAUUACAUUUCCUCCUGGCCAAGAUGAAUUCCAGGUUUUUAAAUGUUACCUCAAAAUGCUUUUUUUCUAGCCAUUCACUAGGACAGAAUGCUUUAGCAAGCAAGGGAGCAGAAGGGCUGAACUAUUAUAUGAAAGAAGCUGGCCUUGAAGGGAUGUGCAAUUUGAUUUCUCCCCAGUGCAGAAAUUCCAAAGCAGUUGAUGUUUAAGUAAAUCCUUCAGCUGUAACACCUCUAAAAUAACACAUAUCAGCAAAUAAUUCCCUCUUUCCAGGAAGAUAAUUAGCACAAAACAUUAAAUGUAUUUUAGCUUUAGUAAUUUCUGUCUUUAUGACUACAACUGUGAUUACAGCAUCCUGCUGCUCUCAUUUCUCUGUAAGAAACUAGAAAGGAAUUUUUUUAGGAAAAAUUAUGAAAAGCACUUUUACACCUUUAUCAUUGUGUUUAAUCAAAUGAGCAAAUCUGUCUACAUUUUAAAAAUCCAAAUGCCUAAUAGUCUUGCUUUUUUUUAAUGCCACAUACUGAAUCAGGAAACCAAAUUCUGACCACGAACUAGCCAGCAGAUAGGAACAGCUCUUCUACAUUAGAAUUUAGCAUUGUAAAGUUCUACCAUUAAAACAUUUUUCUAGGAAAAUUCAAUAAAAUCAGAAUAUUUUGCAGUAAUUUUUGAGAAAGACUUGAAUAAUUGGUGUCAGCAUUAACUGUAUCCUAUCAAAACUCUCUGAACAAUGCCAAAAAUCCCAACCAUAAAUCAUGCCUAGAUAAGAAAUACAGGAAAGCAUGUAGAGAAUAGAAUCAACUCAAACAGGACCAAUAAAAACAGUUCAUUCUUUGCUGCUCUGUCCAGCACUUCCAUCAGGUUUUAGGAAGGCCUGAACUACAAGGCACAAUCCCCCAAAGCGUGCCUAAGUGCUGUAACAACUCUGAAUACCAAGCAAGCUAAAAUGUCCUCUGGAGAAGAACUUUCACUCUCCAGAAACAGAAGUGUUGAAAACCAUCAGGGCUUGCUUGCCUCCAGGAGAACAUUUUUUAUUCAAUCUGACAAGUACUGAAUUAAAAGUGAAAUUUGGUAUUAAAUAUGUGAAUAUUGAAUUAUGGGCACCUUGAAAAUACAAAACCAAAUAAAACAAGCUGAUUUGGGAGUAUACAGGAAUGAGCUGAAAAGUAAUCUUGUGCAAUUGCCUGCAUAAAAACUGAGAGCAUGAAAGAUGCUGCACUCAGCCUGUAGACUGGAAAUGUUUCAAAUGAGACUCCUGAGGAGCUGUGGCACUGCACUCGAUAACAACCUUGCAGUGCUGUGCACAUUUCCUAGGGCUUGCAAAUGUUCCCGUGUUCCUGUAAGCACUGAUUUACAUGAAAUUACAUUAAUGAUAUUCAGGCAUAUUUCAAGCCUAUCAUAUCUCUGUUUACAGGUGCCACAGUAGCACACACCUAGUCUCACUGCUGAGGAAUCUGUAACACACAGGACAGCCAAAUGCGAUACUGACACUGCAAACAGGGUAAGACAGAGAAUUCAACAGAUCUACAGCAGUAAUUCCUAAUGUAUGAGUACCUGAGCCUCACUCCAGAAAAUUGGCUGUUAUGCACCUCACCUCAGCGAACCUAGUUCUCAAUGAAGAGAACUUGAAAUUCGUUUUCUCCCUUCUGUGUGGACACCUGUUGUUUUGAGGCAACUUAUCAGUAAAACACGUUUUCAGUGCAAAAUUUUCAAAUCAGACUCUCAGCCAAAGCUAUUCUUGCUGAGUAUAAGGCAGCUGUAACUCUGUGAGUGCCCUGAAAGAAUGUGAAGAAGCAUGAGAUACCCAAAAUCUGAUGCAAUCCAAGGUUAUUUGAUUCAUUGCACAUGUGUUUAUAAUAAGAACUCAAAUUAAUCAAAGCUUCUAGACAGAUUUCUGCUCAGGUGUUUUCCUUGCAAGCAAUCCCAAAAUACCAGAAGGGAUUUUAGAUUUCAAAAGUCAGUUUUGAGCAGGAAGAAGUAACCCUUUUUUGUAUAGAGAAAAUUAAAAAUUACAAGACAGAACAUAAGUAAAAACAGUUUAUAAACAAACCUACUCCUACACACAGUAUCUUUCCAGGCCGGUUGUUUCCCUUGGGUUUGGCUUUGGUCCAACAAUGCAGUGCCUUUCUGGGACUGAAAAAAAACCCCUGAACACAGCACUUAUGGCCAUUUGAAAAAAACUUAUCCUUUUCAUCAAGCCAGCAGCUCAGCUAAAUACCUGCUCCCUGCCCUCCUCAGACAAAAGCAGCAGCAACCUCUCCUAGUCCUCAUUAGGAUUAAAGCUGCAUUUACACCAGGACUCCUGGCUGGGUCAGAGCUGGGUCACCUUCCUCCCAGGCUCCCAGGAACUGGCAUCAUGGGCAUGUGCACAAAAUCCACCAGGUUUUGGAAGGAGCACACACAUAGAAAACAUGGAUAUAAGGCAGAUUUAAACUAACAAAAUGUUUUAAUCCUUUUUCUUCUAUCCCGGGCCAUUCUGGACCCCGUGCAGCCUGGGACACCCAGAGGAGCUCUGUGCAGAGAUGCUCAAAGGCACAGAGUGAGCGCUGAGUUGGCUCCAUGCAGCUGGUUGGACACGGAUUUCUUGUCUUAAGCCCAUUUUUAAACAAGCCAAGAGUACAGUGUAAUGUGAAGAAAAGAAAAACACAAGCCCCCAGAUGCAGCAACAGUUGAAGGCAGAAGACAGGAAUGAAUUCAAACCCUUUUUUUUGAUUCUGUGGUACAAAAGAAAUCAGAAUAUUUAUCUCUACACAGCUGUCCAUUCAGGAGUUAACACAGUGGGGAAGACCAUGCAAAUUCUCCUACACUCUACGAAAACAUACCUUCAUUUUUCAGUUAAAAGGCAGCCCAUAUCAAAAUGGGAAAAAUCAGUGUUUAAAAAAUUAUAAACAUUUUUAGAUUGUAUAUAAAUAUUUUUAGAUUGUAACAGGUGCUUAGAUCAGAUGCUUUUACUGUACAAUCAGUAAAUUUUUCUUUUUUUGAAAAUAUUUUCCAAAUUUAUAUGACUUACUUUAGUUAAAAUUAGUAUAAAUUGCAAAAAUUAUCUCUAUUCCUUCCACAGGAAGAGCCAAGUGUCCUUUUUUUGCUUCCAAUUUUAUGUCAUUGUCUUCAAAAUAUAGAAGGGAAUGGAACCUCCUUGCUGAAAGCAAUUGAAAACUUCCCCUUCAAUUCUGUGGUUAAGGGCUGAUUCGCUGUGUUUGAGUAAUGAAUAAAAAAAUUUUACUCAGGAGUAUGUAACUCACAGGCAAAUGAUACAAAGCAGCCACAAGAAGGAGUGGAGGUGGCAGCAAUUCCUCCCUCCCUGCCUUUCUCUCCUACCUCAGUUACCCACCAGCCAAAAGCAGCAUUCAGUACGCAGACAGCUGGUGCUAAUUCCCUUUUCCACUCAGAUAAUAGCAAAGGGCAGCCUAAGAUUGAACCAUGGAUGCCUGAUUCUUUGGCAUGUUAACCAUACAGUGGUACUGCUGACAAAUUAAAUUUUAAUAUAGUAGAUAACACAGACAGGUAGUGGAUAUGAAUCUGGCAAUUUCUUUUGUGGUUUAGUCCUGCUUAGGAAUUAGGUAUAUCUGAGAGGUAGGUCAGUCAAUUGAGUCAUGAAGAGAAUCCCAAAAGACAGCUGCCCUUCUGUUUCCAACUGGGCAGCACUUCCCCAGGUUACUGAAAUUUCUUUACCUUGUCUCCUUCACUGCAAAGCAGCUGAGUUAACCAUUAACCCAUGGGGUGGGCACCAUGAUAUAUAGAGCGAUUAAGGAAGUGACACACUCUUCCAUUAGAAGAGGGAGAAAGGAUGAAGUGGAUGAAUGGUGGCAAAUGAUGGACAUGCUGAAGAGGGCAGCCAAGUGGGACAACGUGCCAAGAUGCAGCUGAAUUUAAAUGCAACAGUCACUUGCACAGGGAGCUGCCAGACCUCCCUGAACGUGCCUUACAGUGAUGAGGGAUCUGCAACUACGUAGUGAAUGCAUUUCUCAGGAUCCAGUAUCUUAUCAGAGAGGAUGUUUAGACCUGGAAUGCACCAAUCUCUACAACUGCCUGUUUACACUUCAACAGGGACAAAAGCAUUGGUACUUUUCAGUGCAAUUGGUGAAAUGACACUAAAAAGCAGAAAUCAGCACUGAGGGUACCUGUGCAAAAUCCGCUGCCAGGCGCAUCUUCCCACCUUCUCCGAGGGGCCUUAUUAGACUGGCAUGGCGAAUGAAAAGUUCAAUUGCUCUUUGAGCCAUGGCUUCAGUGUUAUCAAAGACGAAGUCAAAACAUUCAAAAUGUCUGAAGUAGUCGCUCAUGACUCUUGCUAUAAAACCCUGAAGCUCUUUCAUGUAGAGGGAACAAGGGACAUCUGGUUUUCCUGAGCUGGAUAAUGAUCUGAAAAUAAGAAAAGAAAAAAAAAAAAGAAGAAAAAGAAAUAGGGGCAGCUAAAUUCAUCUUUAAAACACAACCAAAACCUAUUGGAUUUUAAAUUAUUUUCCUACCCCACCAAGUCAUGGCAUGAAUUGUAGAGUCUCAUUUCUACUCAGAAUACGGAGAAUGUAGCUCUCCCUGAAACUACAGUCAAAAAGUACCUCUUUAUCAACCAUGCCCAUAAAGAAUUAAAAGAUGAAACAAGAAAUAACGAGGUAAAGGAAAACACCCCUCUCCUACCCAACUUUCAGAGCCUCCUUCGAUUUGGAGUCUACACCUGAAAUCCAGAUCCUAAACUUGAAUGUCCCAGUUAUUGAUUUGAAACUAAUAGUGGAUCAUAAAAUAUAAACGCGUCACAGGGUUACUAAUUUAGCCUGUCAAUCCCAAACCUGUUCUCUGUAUAGAAUCAGUCUCUUAGAUUCCUUCAAACCCAGGAUUACAGUGACAGUUAUCACAGAAGCAGCACAGAAGCCCCUGGACACAAACCAAUAUUGUUUCCCUUUCUUUGACUGACAGUCAGGCAAAAGAGCUCUUCCAAACUUAGAAGAACACACAGGCUAUCUAACAAAACUUAGCCUUUGGCUGGUAACUAUUUACCCACCUAGAGAGGUACUGUGUUACUGAUGCCAAAAAGGGUAAGGGUAAAAUAUUGUUUAAAAAAAAAAGUCAAAAGGAAAAUUCAAAACAUCUCUGAAAAUAUACUACUUCCAGUGAAUUUUCAAGAUCAGAAACAAAGACUGAAAACAGGACAACUGAUGAUGAUACAAGCAAUGUCAGAACAGACAUGACAACUAAAAUAAAAUUUAGGAAGCAAGUCUCAAUUAAACAUCAGAUUCAAGAUCCAGGCACGUAAAGAAUCCUGGAAAUAUUAAUUAAAAUGCUAAGAAAAAACAGCAUAAGACACUGAACCUGAGAUUUUAAAAAAAAGUUAAAAUUAACUAUUACAUCAGAGGCUAUAUGCUUUGAGAAACAGGAAUGCUGACAGUUCUGAAGACUGUCCAAAAAAAACCACAUUUUGAAAGCAAAAGGAUUUUUUUAAGCACAAAAAUGGCCUCUUGUCAGCUUUCUUUUUCUAUUUGAAAUGAAUUUUACUCAACCAGUAUGAAUAAAAAAAAGGGGGAAGGAAAGAAGACGGAUGCUACCUGAUUAAUUGGUUUCAACAGAUAGGUGUAAUUCUGCUUCCUGUGUUCAUUAGCCAUAAAGCAUCGCCUUCCCCUCAACAAACAAGCACUCUUGCUUCAAGGACAUUGUGGCAAUAACAAUCUAUUACACACAUGCAGGACAUCUUACGAGAGCAAUGGUAAAUUUAAAAGAUAUUUCUAGUUACCCAGAAAAAUCUUCCUGGUGCAUAGUGAUGAUAAUAGCUUCCACUGAAUCUCCUACAGAGUUCAGUAGCGGCUGAACAGCACUACCCAUUAGAUCAUGGACUGCCUAAAAUAGAAUAAGAAAAAGGCAGAAGUAAGGAAACAAAAACUAGAGGCAUUUGCAUUUUGACACCUCGGAAAUACCUCAGGAAGCAGUUCAUUUUAUCAGUGAUUUUUAUUAUUCUGCAUUAGAAAAUGCUAAAUAGGAGAACCAAACCUAAAGAUAACAUUUCUCUUUAACUGAUUUUACCCAUAAAGUACAGAAAUAAAGCUGCUUGCUGCUUCUGUGUAAAGCCUCCUUUCAAAAAGGUGCACAGCAAUUUGGCAUUCCAGGCUUGUACAUGUACAUGUUUUGGUGCACACUUGGCUCAGUUGUUCAUUCCCCAGACACAAGCUGCCCUUCAUUCCCCUGCACACAACCCCUCCCAGGUCAGUGCCCAGCAGGAUGGACUUGGAGAGCUGUCAUCCACAGAGGCUGCACCGCCAUCCACAUCCCCCUCCAGGAAAGUACCAGGUCGCAUAAAAAUUAUAAUUUGAUGUAUCUGUCGGGGGAGGAAGGGGGUGAUGAAGGAUCCAGCUAUUGCUGUGUGAAUGCUGCAGAGAAAGACAUUUAUUUUCACAGUCAGAUGACAUCUAUGUUCUGACCGUUAUGAGAAUAUUCUGAAUACAAGCCCGACUCAAGCAGUGAUUUGGCACAGGUAACACAUAUGGAGCUGCAGAUACAAUAAAUUAGAAAUGUCAGAAUAUUUGUAUACCUGUUACUAAAUAUACUGAUGUAAAAUAAUAUGUGGUAAAUAAGUGCCCAUUUUAAGUGUAACAAAGAAAGCCAAGCUCAUCCCUAUCCCUGAAGCAUAUGGACAUUCAAUUACCUUUAAGGCAGUUGUGACCGUUUGCUCAGCAGCUGCUGGAAAUGAGCUCUGACUGGUAAUAACCUAAAAAUUGUAAAGUAAUUGUUAAUAGUCAGCAUUCAGCAAAUUAUUAGAAUACAUAAUAUUCAGCUUCAUUUAAAAACAUACUGAGUUAUCCUUAGUAAUGAGUGUUUACAUAGCUACAGAUAACUAUCAAGUGUGCUUUAUACAGACAGAAUUUUCAAUGCAUCAGUAUCAGUCCUUUGCUCUCAGAUUUCCUAUGGACUCUUAUUCUGCCUUGGCAAAGAAAUGACUCAAUGGAGUUAAGCUGAAAUUUAGCUGAAGGGCUAACAGAAUCAGAAUAAAAAUAACUGGUGUAUUCUCCCACUGCUAAGUAUAGAAUUCAUGGAGAGCUACACAAGCAGUUCUGUGGCAAAUACUUGAAGGAAUAGUUGUUCUUUCUCAGUAUUAUGACUAUUAUAGCACUACAUGUUAAAUAGUUGCUUAUGUACAGCUAGAACAAUAUUAAAAUUGACAGUCAAGGAAUGAUCUGAAGGACUAUUCUACCAAUUUCCUUACAGUCUUGAACGUGCUACACAGUAGUAUUUUUAAGCCAGAGAAGUACUGAACUCAAAUACUGAAUCAUAUCAGAUCUCACUCCAACACUAAGACACAUGAGGUUCAUUACUAAGUACAUCAGAGAAAGCAGACUUAAAAGUUAUCUACCAUCUGUUUGCAAAAUCCAAGGAAAUUUUAUAGGCUUUUUAGCAUUUUUUAAAAUUCUUUGAACAUAGCCAGAGUCAGAAGUACUCAUGAUCUUUUUUCUAAUCAGGCUAGGAUUGAAAUACGAUUUACUGCAACUACCAAUAUACCUAUUUGGUUUAGUUUACAAAGACUCUAACAACUGGCAUCACUAGAAAGUAAAUUGGAAUUAUUCAUAACUCUGCUUGGUUUUGAAAAAUUUCCAGGCCAUAUUUUAGUCACAGUAAUAAUGUAUGGAGAUAUUUGUGAGGUAUUGCAUUUCUUGAUUUCCCUCUUUCCUUCCCCUUUUCUGUUUAGCCACAAUUGUGGGAAAGCAUUGAAGGUCUUCUGAAAAAAAUAGGCUUGGGUUGAAGUAGAUGCAGCAAGGGGGCUAUCAGGCUGAUUAGUACAAAGACAGAUAAGAAAAAACAAAGAGUUCAAUUCUUUAUGUUCACAAAGUAAUGGCUGUCAGAUGUGAUUAUUCUCUAUAAACAUAUCUUUAUUUUUCUAAUAUUGACAAUUUGUCAUACAGUGGUGCUUACAAGGGCCAGCCCAGCCUCAAAGAGAUGUACAAAGCAUGGCAAGGUGCAGCUCUUAACACUCUUAACACAAAACUGGGCUUUAAUUGUCAAGGGCUCUCAUCUGCUAAACGGAGCAUAUGCACAGGAUAGUGCAAGGUAACACUGUGGCAAGAAGAGAAAUGCCAAAAGAAGCCUACCUUCAGAACUGCCUGGUGCAGCUUGUACAGAGAAUUAACCACAGCCACGUUCCUCCUCUGGCCCUCCGUCAGUGGCCCAAUCACCUGGCUGGCGUCUCCUUGAGUAGACAGCUGCAGGGAUCACAGAAAUUGUUGGUACCAACGUUUUCAACGGUGCAUCUCCCCAAACUAAACUUCAACCACAGCAGAAAGCCACAGGCCCUCACUACCCAAUGUUCUUCCAUUUAACUCUUGAUUCAUAGAAUUUCCAUCUUCAGAUUAAACAGACUGAACAACAGCGACAUGAACCUUGUCUCAGCUCCCACAGCACUGAGACCCAGAUCUCCUGGAGAUACCCAGUCCCAGCAAAAUUUGAAUUUUGUAAUCUAAGAAUCAGGUGAAAUCACCUACUUGAGGAAGCCAAAUAAACUGCCAGCAGCUUUUA